AUACUUACCUGUUAGGGGAAGUACCAUGUCAAGAAGGUGAUCUUCCCAGGAUUAGGCCCACCCACUGUACUUUGUGUGUGUUGUCCCCUGCAAUUUCUCCAAAUGUGGGAAACUUGACCAAAUAAUUUGUGAUAGUGGGGUUCUGCAUUUGCUCUCUCCCCUG